UGCAAUACUAAUCGUAGUUUUCAUGUAUUUUGAAUUUGAUUAUGAAAAUGCCGCUUGAAGUUGGAUCAAGGGUUUUUUAUUUGAUUAUGAAAUUGGGUAGUGCAACAGGUAUGUGUAAGACCCCAAUUUUGACCCUAAGAUCCCUCAUGGCAUCAUAACAUUGCAUUUGCAUAGCCUCAAGGAUCAUGAGCAUCUUGGUUCCCUUUGCCAUUGGGUGGGACUCCUUGUGAUUGGUUUGAGAUCACCAAGC
rnacentral:lncRNA from 1 species